AUGUGCCUGUUGUGGAGGCGAAGGUUCAACAGGCCAAGAGGUGAAAAAGCCAAGGCAAUCAUUUACCCGCCGUGUCACGCCACCGUGAUGGAGUUGAAUUCUGGUGCUGGACCUGCCUACCUUGGUGUGAAAAGUGGCAUGUGGCUGAAGGCUUUGAUGUUGAAUGACUCACGCGGCAGUGGAUUGUUUGCCAACGUUGCUCUUCAUCCUGCGUAUCCCAGAUAAGCUUUGACUCCAAGCUGGCAAAAAUGGUUGUACUCUCCAGAGGGAAGGAGUCUUCCGCCACCUGUUGGAUUCUUUUCGCAUUGCAGCACAAACUCUGCAAACAAGUUGGGCUCACCUAUUGGCAAGGCAGGCUGGCCCGGGUCCCGGCGCCGUGACACAACGGGCCUGCUGGUCACGACGAGAGGGAAGUGUGGACGGGAAACCGUCGACGGGGCUGUCGAGUUGGCUGAGCGUCACGCGCCGCAAGUUGGAAGAUGCCGGCCACUAAUACGGCACCAGUGUCUCUCGUCCUCGCCUCUGCUACCUGUCACCGCGCCCUUUUCGUCAUGUUUGGAAACAACAGGCAAUAAACAAUCUGGCCAUACUGAGAAGAUGGAGAGAGGAGCCAGAACAGCGCUGUUCGACUCUGCAUGACAAGAUCUUACUGCCCCCAGGUGGUUGAGGUGCAGAACAAUGUCCAUUGAAAAAUGUGGCAAAAACGUUUGCUCUCAUGCUUUACAAGGGUCCACCGGCACGGGACCUGACGAUCACCGGCUCACGCAGCCCGUCAUUUCCACUUUGGAACGGGUGGCAUGCGCAGGCUGACGUGACUGCCUUUGAGCAGCGCCGCUUCGCCACUGACUUGCAGCUGCAGCCGCCACUUGCCACGCUGCAUUCCUCCUCCUCUUCCUCCUCCUCCUCAUGACAGUAAGAGCACCUUGAUGGAUUGCCUUGCCAAAAGUGCUGAUCACAGGGGGUUCAAAGUUCACGUCAGGUGAACGACUGCAAUCACCCCAGAGCCAGCCGACCAUAACAUUGCUGACUGUUGCUUCAUUAUUCAUUGUAAUACAUCACAUUAUUUUUCAUUUGUUCAUGUCGUGUGUUCCAUUCGAUCAAAAUAGUUGUUGGGGUUUUUUUGUUAGUUUUUCCUCAUAGUUCUCAUACUUUAAAUCUUCCCUCCACUUGUCAAGCUCGAGACUGUGGCCCAUUUCCAGAGUGCAUCCCGUUAGAUGAUCGGCUCUAAUUUGAGCCGGCUCGUUAGCUUCGUUGGCUAAUGCGACGGCUUGAUUGUUGUACGCGUAUCCCGCCGCACGCCCCGAUCAAGCGCAUCGCCGUGCCGAAAAAGAGCAGACAUGUAAAAGUUUGUGACAUGUGUCAGGGCGGCAUGGAGACGAUGUCGCUGAUGUCGGUGGAGCUGACAGGCGCAGAUGGCUUUGGGACAUUGCAGGUUUGGUACAUGUCAACUUGCAUCGCCGUCACCCGCUGGAAGCUGUGUAAAUAUGUCAGCGCUGUCGUUUAAAAAAAGCACCAUUUGGAUUGCUUUGUUUUAAGUACGCAUUGGCAUAGGAGUGGCCCAAGUUGUUUUUGGACAUAACGCUUUUUUAACCUGAAAUGUGAGUGAAAAUUUGAUAUUCAUGUUCUAGUAGAUGGUGGCAGCCAACCUGACAACAAGCAGCGUUUGGGCAGGUGAAUGUUUUUAACUCCCGCCCCCACUAAUUCUCGAAGGAAACAUAAAACAAAGACAAUUAUACAUUACGUAUU